ACUUCCUCGGCCUACAAGAUGCAGUUCACGGGGCAUACCAUCACACCUCUACUUAACACCGUAUGGAAGUUGUGGGCCACUCCUAAAUGCAAGUUCUUUGCUUGGUUAGUCAUCCACAACAGAGUUUGGACGGCUGAUAGACUACAACGAAAGGGUUGGCCAAAUUGCGGCCUAUGCCCGCUUUGCAACCAGGUCCAGGAAUCGGCGGCCCAUCUUCUGUUCCAAUGCCGCUUUUCGAUCAUCGUUUGGAACACGGUUAAGGCGAGGAUUGGGCUGGUUGACCUCUCGGUGCAUGAUUGGGCAGCUAUGAACAAUGUCAACGACUAGUGGACUAAGCUUUCCCUUGCACGUUCGCCAUCUUGGAAAGGAAGGGCCUCGCUCCUUAUGUUGGUCUCCUGGGAGCUAUGGAAGGAGAGGAACACUAGGGUUUUUAGAAAUACUUCUACGCCUUCGAUGAUUAUCGUGGACAGGAUCCUUGAUUAG
rnacentral:rRNA from 1 species